UACGGGGGGGGCAAGCGUUGUUCGGAAUUACUGGGCGUAAAGGGCUCGUAGGUGGCCAACUAAGUCAGACGUGAAAUCCCUCGGCUUAACCGGGGAACUGCGUCUGAUACUGGAUGGCUAGAGUUUGGGAGAGGGAUGCGGAAUUCCAGGUGUAGCGGUGAAAUGCGUAGAUAUCUGGAGGAACACCGGUGGCGAAGGCGGCAUCCUGGACCAAUAUUGACGCUGAGGAGCGAAAGCUAGGGGAGCAAACGGG
rnacentral:rRNA from 1 species